CUCCAGAGUGAGUUCUUCUUCCUCAGAAGUCAUUGCAGUUAAUUUUUUAAAUAUCAUCUUAUUGGUCCAGGCCUUGUUAUAUAAUUAACCUAACCUGAGCUUCUAAAAUUGGUGACAAAGGGGGGACCAGUAUUAUUAUACUCAUUGUGAGGCUGAGUAAACUGGGCUGAGAGGUGUGGCAGGACUUCCCCGCAAGUAACAAGUUGAGGAUGAGGUUUGUUCCUCCGCUAGGGCAUGCUGGUGUUGCCCACACACUCAUAGAUCUGACCCAAUAGAGUAAUUUCUCCCUUCUUAGUUAAAGGUAAACAUAAAAAAAGAUAUGUUUAUCCUCUUCUGUCUGACUUAACAAGGAUUCCUAUAGGAUCAUUUGAGCUGAGACAAUCAAUACCCAUUUUAUUUUUCCUUUUUGGGAUUUCUUAAUUUUGUAAGCUGCCUUUGGUGGAGGAAUUGGGGGUUGGAUGGGGAUUAAGGCACAAGCAGGAGAGCCUUUUUGAUAUUCCUGUCUCUCCUGCAUGCUGGGCUGCAGACUGACUGAUUGGACCUGCCAGCAUACUUCAGCUAGCACCCCAGCAAACAUAUGGUGUCAGGGUCAAUAUUUACUUUCAUUUAAUGCGUGCAGUGCUUCAUCUAUUUAUUUAUUUAUUCAGCAGGCAAUUGGACUUCACAGAGCAAAAUCCCUUUGUUCUCUACAUAGGUUACUGAAGAAAACAGCUUUCAGACAAGACUAUCCUACCCUUAUCACCCACUAUUUGCCUACAGUUGCUUCUCCUAGCAGCUAAACAAGAACUGGCCUCAAGAUAAGCACAAUUAAAGCAACCACAACUCAUCCAGCUUAUAGACGCUGACUCACUGGACGUUCCACCAGCCAUAACUAGUUUUCACUGGACAAGAGUUUGACUUCAAUAACUUUCCCUAGAAAAGAAAACCAUUAACCAUGGACUGGUUCUGGCCAGUUUACAGAGAUUGUGUACUUGCAUGCCUUCAUGUCCUGAAAAGAUACUUUACAGUACAGAGCCUCAUUAUAAUAUAUUUAAAUAUUACAUCUCUACCCUAAAGUGAAUAUCAGUUUUAUGUUACAUGUAUGUUUGUUCAAUAUGUGUGCAUCCAGAUCACCUUCAUGAAUAUUCAUAGCUCCUCCUAUAACCUAUUGAAUACGUAUGUUUAGUCAAACUAUUAAGUAUAAAACUUGUACCCCAACCCCUCUUCCUUCCAAGUGCUUGUUUCUGGGCUUCAGCCAGAGGCUGUGCUUCCUAGCCUGCAGGAUGGCCAUCUUAUAGGCUGUAACUCUUUAGAUGAAAUAGUCUUCUCUCCUUUUCUAAAUUUAUACAUGUUGUGAUUUUUAAGUUAACAGUUGCUACUGCAAAAUGAAGGUAGGGAGGAACAUGUCUCAGAUGCUGGGGAUUCUCUGGGAUGUGUCUUAGUGCUUCCAUGAGUAAUAAAGUUAAUGGAAAAUUCCA
rnacentral:lncRNA from 13 species